GAUGAAGAACGCAGCAAAAUGCGAUAAGUAAUGUGAAUUGCAGAAUUCAGUGAAUCAUCGAAUCUUUGAACGCACAUUGCGCCCGCUGGUAUUCCGGCGGGCAUGCCUGUUCGAGCGUCAUUUCAACCCUCAAGCCCCCGGGUUUGGUGUUGGGGAUCGGCUCUGCCCUUCUGGGCGGUGCCGCCCCCGAAAUACAUUGGCGGUCUCGCUGCAGCCUCCAUUGCGUAGUAGCUAACACCUCGCAACUGGAACGCGGCGCGGCCAUGCCGUAAAACCCCAACUUCUGAAUGUUGACCUCGGAUCAGGUAGGAAUACCCGCUGAACUUAAGCAUAUCAAUAGCGGAGGA
rnacentral:misc_RNA from 1 species